UCUCUCUAUAUUAUCAAUACCGCAUCUCUCUCUAAAAUCAACAAAAGAGUUGCAGCAACAUAUCUCUCUCUCUCUCGCUUGAUUCCGGCGUCCUUCUUCCCGGCGAGUCAUCGCCGGAAGCCAUCUCUCUCUCUCUCGCAUACAUCGCGCCGUUGUUCCUGCUGCUCCGGCGACUCACGACGAGGCCACCGCCGAUUACUGCUGUUUGUGGAAGCGCCGCCGACUGCUGCUGUUCGUGGAGUCUGCCGCCGACUGCUGCUGUUCUGGAGCUGGCCGCCGACUGCUGCUGUUCUGGUAUCGCGGGCUGCUGUUGCAGAGCUCCGACAGCCACCACCGUCGUCGGCUGCCGCUGCCUCGCCCAAGGCCGACUUCUGCUGCCAAGCACCGAACGCCGCUGCUGUAGGGAGGCCGGCGAACAGUCGGGUGUUCGCCGUUUCCAGUUCUUCUCCGAGUUCCGAAGCCGGUGAGAGCUCCAUCAUCGCGUCGUCUCGUUCGUCUCUCGGCCCAACUGAACAGGUCGUGGAGCAACAAGGCGAGCCUCUCGCCUGAACCCACCGCCAAGCACCGAGUCGCUGCUGCUCGUCGUCUCUUGAUCAGCCUGAACAGGCCGCGUCCCUUCUUCCUAAAGCUAAGUUCUUGUUCUAUCUCUCUACUAUUGUAUUUCAAUUCAUGUUGUUGCCGAUGGGAAUUCUCAUGACUUGGUUCUAAGUAUAAAGGCAGUAUAAAGAUAUCAAUGUAUGAAUAAAUCUAUUUCUGUUGAAUGCUAAUCAUGUACGCAUAUGUGAUUUGCUAUGUCCCUUUGUAUUAAACUCAUCCUAUGUGUCGAAUUUCUUUUAUAUGAAAUGAGGGAAGUGAAAUGCAUAUGUGAGGAUAGUGAACUGAAAAUACCUUGAAUGUUUGUGUUGGUUGAAGGUUGCUGAGUUUAAACGAACUGGAAUGAUUUCACCGAACUGAAAUUAAUCGAUGUUGUUGUUUCAAUAAUUGCAGUUGGUCAAUGGGAGGAGAUGGAUGAAUUAAACACAAAAUCUCACCUUGAAUGUGGGCAAAGCAAUGAAUGCAAGGCAAAGGCAGUUCCUCCUGCUCCUUGGUGCGUUUCUUGUUUCAAAAUGGGUUUCAAAAUGGAAGAGAAUGAAGUUCUUGUUUGCUGCAAAGAGAGGUAAAAAGGGAGGAGGGCUGUAUUGUUGGGGUGCGAGAAUGCAGCAGGCUCAAGAGAAGAUAGGGGAGUGUGCAGCACAUGUCUCCACCCCCUUUUCCUUUUUCCCAUUUUCUUGAACUUAGGGGGGGGUGGCAGGUGGUGGAGUAGGAAAGUGGUAGAGUGUAAACCGUAGGGAGUGCAUUCCCUUCUUCAUUUUCCUUUGUUGCAGAUGGUAGAUAAGCAUAGGUGUGUAUGGUUGUAAAGUAUGAUGUGAUCUAAAUAUAAUCCUUCAGUGUUGUUGCUCUGUAUUUGAAA